AGAGUUUGAUCCUGGCUCAGAUUGAACGCUGGCGGCAUGCUUUACACAUGCAAGUCGAGCGGCAGCGCGGGGCAACCCUGGCGGCGAGCGGCGAACGGGUGAGUAAUACAUCGGAACGUGUCCCGUAGUGGGGGAUAACCCGGCGAAAGCCGGGACUAAUACCGCAUAUGCUCUACGGAGGAAAGCGGGGGAUUCGCAAGAACCUCGCGCUAUGGGAGCGGCCGAUGUCCGAUUAGCUUGUUGGUGAGGUAAUGGCUUACCAAGGCGACGAUCGGUAGCUGGUCUGAGAGGAUGAUCAGCCACACUGGGACUGAGACACGGCCCAGACUCCUACGGGAGGCAGCAGUGGGGAAUUUUGGACAAUGGGGGCAACCCUGAUCCAGCCAUGCCGCGUGCGGGAAGAAGGCCUUCGGGUUGUAAACCGCUUUUGUCCGGAAAGAAAAGGCGCCUCCUAAUACGGGGCGUCCUUGACGGUACCGGAAGAAUAAGCACCGGCUAACUACGUG
rnacentral:rRNA from 1 species